AAGUCGUAACAAGGUUUCCGUAGGUGAACCUGCGGAAGGAUCAUUAUCACGUAUCCACGUAUAAACCAAACCGUGAACUGUUCUUGCCUUUGGAGAAAUGAGCUGAAUAGCAGUUGUAAGCUUAUUGUGUGGUUUUAAGCUUUGCUAUUUACUUUUAUUUUGAAGUUUUAACGAACUUUGAAAUAACGAUAUGGCUCUGACCUCUGAAGCGUAUUUAAAUCACACUAUUUAAUUUUUAUUAACCACUUGAACCAUUAAAUUUAAUCUUUUGUUUGAACUGAUUUAUUUCUUACUUUGGUUGGUAAAACAAUCGAAGAAGAAAAUCGAAUUACGAAACAAAAAGAACAACUCUUAGCAACGGAUAUCUUGGUUCUC
rnacentral:misc_RNA from 1 species